UACGUAGGGGGCAAGCGUUGUCCGGAAUCAUUGGGCGUAAAGAGCGCGUAGGCGGUCCGGUAAGUCCGCUCUGAAAGCCCGGGGCUCAACCCCGGGAGGCGGGCGGAUACUGUCGGGCUAGAGGCCGGAAGAGGCGAGUGGAAUUCCUGGUGUAGCGGUGAAAUGCGCAGAUAUCAGGAGGAACACCGAUGGCGAAGGCAGCUCGCUGGGACGGUACUGACGCUGAGGCGCGAAAGCGUGGGGAGCAAACAGG
rnacentral:rRNA from 1 species